rnacentral:rRNA from 1 species
UACGUAGGGCGCAAGCGUUUGUCCGGAAUUAUUGGGCGUAAAGAGCUCGUAGGCGGCUUGUCACGUCGGAUGUGAAAGCCCGGGGCUUAACCCCGGGUCUGCAUUCGAUACGGGCUAGCUAGAGUGUGGUAGGGGAGAUCGGAAUUCCUGGUGUAGCGGUGAAAUGCGCAGAUAUCAGGAGGAACACCGGUGGCGAAGGCGGAUCUCUGGGCCAUUACUGACGCUGAGGAGCGAAAGCGUGGGGGAGCGAACAGG